AACCCAUGAUGAGGGCACCUUCUCAAUAUAUCUUUAAAUCUCUCUUAUGCAUCAAAUAAUGUCUCCAAAUCAAUUUGAGCAAAACAAGAGGUGUCAUUUCUCAACUU
rnacentral:snoRNA from 1 species